rnacentral:rRNA from 1 species
AUUGAACGCUGGCGGCAGGCCUAACACAUGCAAGUCGAACGAGUGGCGGACGGGUGAGUAAUGUCUGGGAAACUGCCUGAUGGAGGGGGAUAACUACUGGAAACGGUAGCUAAUACCGCAUACCAUCGGAUGUGCCCAGCUGGGAUUAGCUAGUAGGUGGGGUAACGGCUCACCUAGGCGACGGUCCCUAGCUGGUCUGAGAGGGUGACCGGCAACCCUGAAACUGAGGCACGGUCCAGAGUCCUACGGAAGACAGCAGUGGGGAAUGUUGCACAAUGGGCGCAAGCCUGAUGCAGCCAUGCCGGGUGUAUGAAGAAGGCCAUCGGGUUGUAAAGUACAUGCAGCGAGGAGGCGUUACUCGCAGGAGAAGCACCGGCUAACUACGUGCCAGCAGCCGCAGUAAGUC